UACGGGGGGGGGCAAGCGUUGUUCGGAAUUACUGGGCGUAAAGGGCGCGUAGGCGGUUCGCUAAGUUGGAUGUGAAAACUCUGGGCUCAACCCAGAGCCUGCAUCCAAAACUGGCGGGCUAGAGUUCUGGAGGGGGUAGCGGAAUUCCUGGUGUAGCGGUGAAAUGCGUAGAUAUCAGGAGGAACACCGGUGGCGAAGGCGGCUCUCUGGGCCUUACCUGACGCUGAGGAGCGAAAGCGUGGGUAGCGAACAGG
rnacentral:rRNA from 1 species